CAGCCGCCGCGGUAAUACGAGGGGGGCAAGCGUUGUUCGGAAUUAUUGGGCGUAAAGGGUGCGUAGGCGGCUUGACAAGUCUUGUGUGAAAUCUAUGGGCUCAACCCAUAGUCUGCACGGGAAACUGUCGGGCUUGAGAAUGGGAGAGGUGAGUGGAAUUCCACGUGUAGCAGUGAAAUGCGUAGAGAUGUGGAGGAAUACCGAUGGCGAAGGCAGCCCCCUGGGCCAAUACUGACGCUCAUGCACGAAAGCGUGGGGAGCAAACAGGAUUAGAUACCCCCGUAGUCCCUGUCUCUUAUAC
rnacentral:rRNA from 1 species